GACGAACCGGGCAAACGUUAUUCGGAAUCACUGGGCUUAAAGGGUGCGUAGGCGGCCCUGUAAGUUGGGUGUGAAAUCCCUCGGCUCAACCGAGGAAUUGCGCUCAAAACUACAGGGCUUGAGGGAGACAGAGGUGAGCGGAACUGAUGGUGGAGCGGUGAAAUGCGUUGAUAUCAUCAGGAACACCAGUGGCGAAGGCGGCUCACUGGGUCUUUUCUGACGCUGAGGCGCGAAAGAUAGGGGAGCAAACAGG
rnacentral:rRNA from 1 species